rnacentral:rRNA from 1 species
AUUGAACGCUGGCGGCAGGCCUAACACAUGCAAGUCGAACGGUAACAUGAAGAAGCUUACUUCUUUGCUGACGAGUGUCGUGCGUGUGAGGAAUGUCUGGGAAACUGCCUGAUGUAGGGUGAUUACUACUGGAAACGGUAGCUAAUACCGCAUAACGUCGCAAGCCCAAAGAGGGGGACUUUCGUGCCUCUUGCCAUCGGAUGUGCCCAGAUGGGAAUAGCUUGGUGGUGGGGUAGCGGCUCACCAAGGCGACGAUCCCUAGCUGCCCUGAGCGGAUGACCAGCCACACUAGAACUGAGACACGGUCCAGACUCCUACGGGAGGAAGCAGUGGGGAAUACUGCACGAUGGGGGCAAGCCUGAUGCAGCCAUGCCGCGUGUAUGAAGAAGGACUUCGGGUUGUAAAGUACAUUCAGCGGGGAGGAAGGGAGUAAAGUUCAUAACGUAGCUUAUUGACGUUACCCGCAGAAGAAGCACCGGCUAACUCCGUG